rnacentral:rRNA from 1 species
GAUCCUGGCUCAGGAUGAACGCUGGCGGCGUGCCUAACACAUGCAAGUCGAACGAAGCAUAUCUAACGGAGAUUCGUCGAAGCUGGAUAUGACUUAGUGGCGGACGGGUGAGUAAUGUAUGAGCAACCUGCCUUUCAGAGGGGGACAACAGUUGGAAACGACUGCUAAUACCGCAUAAUGUAUUUGGGUGGCAUCACUUGGAUACCAAAGGAGCAAUCCGCUGAAAGAUGGGCUCAUAUCUGAUUAGCUUGUUGGCGGGGUAACGGCCCACCAAGGCGACGAUCAGUAGCCGGACUGAGAGGUUGAACGGCCACAUUGGGACUGAGAUACGGCCCAGACUCCUACGGGAGGCAGCAGUGGGGAAUAUUGGGCAAUGGGCGAAAGCCUCGACCCAGCAACGCCGCGUGAAGGAAGAAGGUCUUCGGAUUGUAAACUUCUUUUAUGAGGGACGAAGGACGUGACGGUACCUCAUGAAUAAGCCACGGCUAACUACGUGCCAGCCGCGGC